rnacentral:lncRNA from 1 species
GGAAGAGACAGUGUCCUCCUGCUGCUCUUGGUUUGUGGUGUAUCUAUCUGCAGGACAUACAGAACUUGGUCUAGACAGCCUGGCUAAUUUAAAAGCCUUGGAAAUAGGAUCCUAUAAGGAGUUGUACAGGACAAAGUGCUCUUUGUCUUCCAAUAACAAAGUGUUGGAGUGACUUCAAGACCUGAUAUAUCUAGAGCUGGCCAGCCUGUGCCUUGGAGAUGUAUGCAGCUGUUGAGUGUUUCAAGGGUGCCUCUCACAUUGGGACAACAUCAUAUACAAAGGUCUCUCUGCUCACCAGGGCUGCUAGGUAGUCUGGUCUCGCUGUGGGUGGAAGUGAGCUAAAUUGCUACACCAGCAUCUCUGAGAUGCCCAAACCAUCUUGCUGUGGAGACAUAGGGUCUGGUCAGCCUCUCCUGCCUGGUCAGUUCCUCCUGGACUUCCCCCACCUCUCAGCUUACUGAGGAGGCCUGGAGAACACGUAUCCAUUCAUAACAAACUAUUCAAGAUUCACGGGCCUGAAAGGUCACUGUAAGUUUCUAUUGCUCUUCUGGUGCGAUUGGUAUAGAUCACGUCUUCUAGCAAACUUUAAGGAAGAAAGCUUUUGUUACAAGGAGAGAUGGUACGUUUGUGCACCCAACCUCUAUUUGGAAGAAUAUUUUGUUGUGAAACUUUUCUUCUUCUGGAGGCUUGAGCCAACUGCUUUUGAUCUGGGAGCUUACGGUGUGGGUAAGCACAGCCAUAUUAGGCUGGAUAGACGUCACCCUCAGGGAUUUGCACACAUAACUCUCCUUGACUUGAACUGGAGAAGGGCCAGAGUUUGUUCGCUUUCACUUUCUGUCACUGAGAAAAAUUAA